GCCUGUGUGGCUCAGUCGGUUGAGCAUCUGACUUCGGCUCAGGUCAUGAUCUCACGGUUCUCAUGGGUUCAAGCCCCACAUCACGCG
rnacentral:tRNA from 1 species